rnacentral:rRNA from 1 species
AUUGAACGCUGGCGGCAGGCUUAACACAUGCAAGUCGAACGAUGACUCUCUAGCUUGCUAGAGAAGAUUAGUGGCGGACGGGUGAGUAACAUUUAGGAAUCUGCCUAGUAGUGGGGGAUAGCUCGGGGAAACUCGAAUUAAUACCGCAUACGACCUACGGGUGAAAGGGGGCGCAAGCUCUUGCUAUUAGAUGAGCCUAAAUCAGAUUAGCUAGUUGGUGGGGUAAAGGCCCACCAAGGCGACGAUCUGUAACUGGUCUGAGAGGAUGAUCAGUCACACCGGAACUGAGACACGGACCGGACUCCUACGGGAGGCAGCAGUGGGGAAUUGUGGACAAUGGGGGCAACCCUGAUCCAGCCAUGCCGCGUGCGGGAAGAAGGCCUUCGGGUUGUAAACCGCUUUUGUCGGGGAAGAAACGGUCUGCGCUAAUACCGCGGACUAAUGACGGUACCCGAAGAAUAAGCACCGGCUAACUACGUGCCAGCCGCCGCCGUAA